rnacentral:rRNA from 1 species
AUUGAACGCUGGCGGUAUGCUUAACACAUGCAAGUCGAACGGCAGCGAAGAGAGCUUGCUCUCUGUCGGCGAGUGGCGGACGGGUGCGUAACGCGUAGGAAUCUGCCCAGCAGUGGGGGAUAGCCCGGAGAAAUCCGGAUUAAUACCGCAUACACUCUACGGAGUAAAGGAGGCCUCUUCUUGAAAGCUUUCGCUGUUGGAUGAGCCUGCGUCGGAUUAGCUAGUUGGUGGGGUAAAGGCCUACCAAGGCGACGAUCCGUAGCUGGUCUGAGAGGAUGAUCAGCCACACUGGGACUGAGACACGGCCCAGACUCCUACGGGAGGCAGCAGUGGGGAAUAUUGGGCAAUGGGCGCAAGCCUGACCCAGCCAUGCCGCGUGUGUGAAGAAGGCCCUAGGGUUGUAAAGCACUUUAAGCAGGGAGGAAGGCUGUAAGGUUAAUAACCUUGCAGAUUGACGUUACCUGCAGAAUAAGCACCGGCUAAUUUCGUGCCAGCAGCCGCGGUAAUACGAAAGGUGCAAGCGUUAAUCGGAAUUACUGGGCGUAAAGCGCGCGUAGGUGGUUUGGUAAGUUGGAUGUGAAAGCCCUGGGCUCAACCUGGGAACUGCAUUCAAAACUGCCAUGCUAGAGUACAGUAGAGAGGGGUAGAAUUUCAGGUGUAGCGGUGAAAUGCGUAGAGAUCUGAAGGAAUACCGGUGGCGAAGGCGGCCCCUUGGACUGAUACUGACACUGAGGUGCGAAAGCGUGGGUAGCAAACAGGAUUAGAUACCCUGGUAGUCCACGCCGUAAACGAUGUCAACUAGCCGUUGGAAGACUUGAUCUUUUAGUGGCGCAGCUAACGCAAUAAGUUGACCGCCUGGGGAGUACGGCCGCAAGGUUAAAACUCAAAUGAAUUGACGGGGGCCCGCACAAGCGGUGGAGCAUGUGGUUUAAUUCGAUGCAACGCGAAGAACCUUACCAGGUCUUGACAUCCCGAGAAUUUUCUAGAGAAUGGCUUUGGUGCCUUUGGGAACUGAGUGACAGGUGCUGCAUGGCUGUCGUCAGCUCGUGUUGUGAGAUGUUGGGUUAAGUCCCGCAACGAGCGCAACCCUCGUCCUUAGUUGCCAUCAUUUAGUUGGGCACUUUAAGGAAACUGCCGGUGAUAAGCCGGAGGAAGGUGGGGAUGACGUCAAGUCCUCAUGGCCCUUACAGGCUGGGCUACACACGUGCUACAAUGGCGGUGACAGUGGGCAGCAAACCCGCAAGGGUGAGCUAAUCUCCAAAAGCCGUCUCAGUUCGGAUUGUUCUCUGCAACUCGAGAGCAUGAAGGCGGAAUCGCUAGUAAUCGCGGAUCAGCAUGCCGCGGUGAAUACGUUCCCAGGCC